rnacentral:rRNA from 1 species
CCUACGGGCGGCAGCAGUGGGGAAUAUUGGACAAUGGGGGGAACCCUGAUCCAGCCAUGCCGCGUGUGUGAAGAAGGCCCUCGGGUUGUAAAGCACUUUCAGUGAGGAAGAACGCCUGGUGGUUAAUACCCAUCAGGAAAGACAUCACUCACAGAAGAAGCACCGGCUAACUCCGUGCCAGCAGCCGCGGUAAUACGGAGGGUGCGAGCGUUAAUCGGAAUUACUGGGCGUAAAGCGCGCGUAGGUGGCUUGAUAAGCCGGUUGUGAAAGCCCCGGGCUCAACCUGGGAACGGCAUCCGGAACUGUCAAGCUAGAGUGCAGGAGAGGAAGGUAGAAUUCCCGGUGUAGCGGUGAAAUGCGUAGAGAUCGGGAGGAAUACCAGUGGCGAAGGCGGCCUUCUGGACUGACACUGACACUGAGGUGCGAAAGCGUGGGUAGCAAACAGGAUUAGAUACCCGAGUAGUU